UACGUAGGGUGCAAGCGUUAAUCGGAAUUACUGGGCGUAAAGCGUGCGCAGGCGGCUAUGCAAGGCAGAUGUGAAAUCCCCGGGCUUAACCUGGGAACUGCAUUUGUGACUGCAUGGCUAGAGUACGGUAGAGGGGGAUGGAAUUCCGCGUGUAGCAGUGAAAUGCGUAGAUAUGCGGAGGAACACCGAUGGCGAAGGCAAUCCCCUGGACCUGUACUGACGCUCAUGCACGAAAGCGUGGGGAGCAAACAGG
rnacentral:rRNA from 1 species